GACGAACGCUGGCGGCGUGCCUAAUACAUGCAAGUCGAGCGGAACUUGAAAGCUUGCUUUCUAAGUUUAGCGGCGGACGGGUGAGUAACACGUGGGCAACCUGCCUAUAAGACUGGGAUAACUUCGGGAAACCGGAGCUAAUACCGGAUAAUAUAAAAGAUCACAUGGUCGUUUAUUGAAAGAUGGCUUCGGCUAUCACUUAUAGAUGGGCCCGCGGCGCAUUAGCUAGUUGGUGAGGUAAUGGCUCACCAAGGCGACGAUGCGUAGCCGACCUGAGAGGGUGAUCGGCCACACUGGGACUGAGACACGGCCCAGACUCCUACGGGAGGCAGCAGUAGGGAAUCUUCCGCAAUGGACGAAAGUCUGACGGAGCAACGCCGCGUGAGCGAUGAAGGCCUUCGGGUCGUAAAGCUCUGUUGUUAGGGAAGAACAAGUAUCGUUCGAAUGGGGCGGUACCUUGACGGUACCUAACCAGAAAGCCACGGCUAACUACGUG
rnacentral:rRNA from 1 species